rnacentral:rRNA from 1 species
GUCGAGGGGCAGCACAAGUGUAGCAAUACUCUGGGUGGCGACCGGCGCACGGGCCAAUUAAAGCGUAUGCAACCUACCUUCCACCACAGGGGGAUAGCCUUCCUUUAAGGAGAUUAAUACCGCAUGAAACAGGGGCCCCGCAUGGGGAUAUUUGUUAAAGAUUUAUCGGUGGAAGAUGGGCCUGCGUUCCAUUAGCUAGUUGGGGGGGUAACGGCCCACCAAGGCAACGAUGGAUAGGGGAACUGAGAGGUUUAUCCCCCACACUGGGACUGAGACACGGCCCAGACUCCUACGGGAGGCAGCAGUGAGGAAUAUUGGUCAAUGGGCGGGAGCCUGAACCAGCCAAGUCGCGUGGAGGACGACGGUUCUAUGGAUUGUAAACUCCUUUUGCACUGGGGUAAAACGCGGGACGUGUCCCGCCUUGUUAGUACAGUGCGAAUAAGCAUCGGCUAACUCCGUGCCAGCAGCCGCGGUAAUACGGAGGAUGCGAGCGUUAUCCGGAUUUAUUGGGUUUAAAGGGUGCGUAGGCGGCCCCUUAAGUCAGCGGUAAAAUUUCUGCGCUCAACGCAGUCGUGCCGUUGAAACUGGGGCGGCUUGAGUCUAGAUGAAGUGGGCGGAAUUUGUAGUGUAGCGGUGAAAUGCUUAGAUAUUACAAGGAACUCCGAUUGCGCAGGCAGCUCACUAAGCUAUCACUGACGCUGAAGCACGAAAGCGUGGGUAUCAAACAGGAUUAGAUACCCUGGUAGUCCACGCAGAAAACGAUGAUCACUCGCUGUCUGCGAUAUACAGUAGGCGGCCAAGCGAAAGCGUUAAGUGAACCACCUGGGGAGUACCGCCGGAACGGUGAAA